rnacentral:lncRNA from 1 species
CUCCCGGCUGAGCUCAGCUCUGACGCGGGCCCUGCCGAGGAUGCUCUUACUCACACCGUGCCCUCCUCACGUCACGGAGCAGCAGCAGCAGCGCCCUGCCCAGAGGAGCGGGCUGGCUCCAAGGCUCCCCUGUUCCCUGGAAGGGCACGUUCCCAAACCCCGCAGCUGCUGGGGCCGGCAGCACCUGCCGCUGGGAGAAGGUGACACAGGCUCCCCAGCCCUCCCUGUCACCCCGGGCAAGGGCUGGGUCUGCCCUGCCUUCCCCCGUCCACGAUUCGGGGUUUUAGUCUCUGAUCUCAGCUGAACACCCCCGGGCAGAGCAGCACCUUUGGAGGGACUGGUGAGGGACUGGGGCCUGUCGGCCCUGGCAUCAAACCCCUCGGGAAGGGGGUCCCAGCCCGGGGGCUCGGCCUGGCCAUGGAGCCGGCCGGGGCUGUGGAAGGAAGGAGGAGCAGGCCAGGAACCGGCUGGACCCGUUCCGCCGGUGCCAUCGGGAAGGGUGACUGUGAGUGGCACGCCAACCAUCGUGUCCAGUCCCUGAGGAAUGCACCCAGGAUCGUCAGGGGAGCACUCCUGGGAAACGCCUCUGCCCUGGCUGUCAGUCAUCCCCCUGAGCACCUCGGGAUGCCAGAGGAGGAUUUCAAUCAAAUUUGUCAGAGCUGGAAUGCGUGUCCGGGCGCGGGGAUCCGCCCCGGUGAGCGAGCAGCAGCCCGGCAGCAGCUCGGGCACGUGUGGGUCAUUCCCGGAGAGCAGGAGCAGGCAAGAGCAGGAUCCGGGAGCUUGGGGCAGGCUGGAAUGCCGCGGAGCAGGCAGGAGCCUCCGCAGGAGCUGAUCUGCUCUUGGGGUGGCUCGGGAGGGAUGGGAAUGCCUGGGCUGCUCACUCCAGGCUGGAUCCAAGAGGUGAGAGAAGGUGGUUGUCAGGGAAAUCACGGAGCUGCUGGCCUGUGUUUAGAGCUGAACAGAACAAAUACUCCUCCUACAGAGGGGAAAAAAGCUUUUUCAAGGUUCCUCUGCCUGUGCACACAACAGGUUCUACACCCAGGGGUGCUGGGCACUGGAACAGGCUCCCCAGAGAAGUGGUCACAGCACGAGUCUGCCAGAGGUCAGGAAGGGUUUGGAAACCCUCAGAAGCACAUUGGGGCUGUCCUUGAUGCUCUGCGUGGCUCCAUUCCAAGCCAGGGUAUUCCACAGAUCCACAGGAACUCAAACCCUCGGUGGAGCAGAAAAAGCUGA